AUUUCAGGUGAAACAUUUAACAGCGAACAAUAGCAAAUAAAAAUAUUGCAAAUAUUUAUUUUAAUAUUUUUAUUUUAAUAUUCAGAGAGAGCAGGCCAGGUGGCACUAUAGCCUGUGCACUUUUUCUUUAUUUUUGCACUAAUGGCAUUACUGAUUUUAGUUUCCAGGUGAAUAAACAUGUUUAUGUUUCAAAUAAGAGUGAAAUCUUUGUCACUGUGCACUGCACAGUCAGACCUUAACACCGUUCCUUAACAUUGGUUUAAUUUCAUUUUGGUGAACAUAAUGACUUUCAGAAAUCGAAGGGAAACUUUAAACAUUAUUCUUUGAACUUUUCAUUUUAGUCGACUAAAUCAACUGGUUUUACUCAACUGUAAUCUUAUGAAAUAUAGUUGACCAAAACUGAAAUAUUUUAGAUGACCAAAUUAUCACUGAAACUAAAUUACAUUUUAGUCAGAAGACUACGACUAAAACUAAAUAAAAAUUUGUCAAAAUUAACACUGGUUCGUAUUAAGUGGAUAACUUUUGCCAAGUGAUACAUUUUAUUGACCGGGGGAGGGGGGGCGCCACGAGAAUUAAUACCAUACAGGAGAAUGCUCGGUAUGCCAUAUGCUCUGUAUUUGUAUUUCCUGUAGCUGCAGUGAGUAUAUUAGCAUUAUUGUUCAUAUGUGUACUGCCACUAUAACAAGUGCAUAUAUACGUGACAGUAAAACUUUCUGGGCAUCUACAUUGAUAAAACUUAGGUGAUAGUACUGUUUUGUUAUUAAGUACAAUUAUUAGAUUGAACCAGCUUAUUUAUUUGCUCUUUAAGAGGUUUUUACUGUUGUCUGGUGUGCUGUAGUGCAACCUGUCUGACCGAUACCUUUUUCUCCUCUUAGCACUAGGAGAAUGGAGAAAGCAGUGGAUUGGACUGAUGACAAGUACUGGGCAGCCUGGGAUAAGUGGGAUGAGGUGAUAGAUUGGGGAGAUGAAAAGUCUUCACCCACAACACCUCCCUCUAUCCAGGCUGGCACCAGCACUGGAGACGUGGAUGUUGGGGUGGAACAUUACCAGCAGCCAGUAUUCAAACGCCAGCAAAAGAAACUGGUUUUGAGGAUGCAAAUUCAUCUCAGUGUGCAGCCUCAGCCUCAACAUGUGGUCCAGAAUGUAAAUGACAGGGAGGAAGAAGCCCCAGUUCUGUCUAACCUGUCAUCUUGGAGGGAACCUGUUACUCAGGAACAAAGGGAGUCAAAAAGGCAUAAGGACCCAUUCUCCGUGCCUGGAUAUGAGACCCACCACUGGCCUAGAGAAAGAUACUGGUCGCGACAGCCAGCAAAGACAGUCAUUGAUGAAAAUAUCAUCCUGGGCUUCUGCAAUGGCCUGAUGGCUUUUUCACUGUCAUGAAAAUUAUGAAUUUUAAAACUAUUUAUUAUGUAAUAAAAAUUUCAAGCUAA